rnacentral:rRNA from 1 species
GGAGUGAAAGCCUGCUUUCAAGGUGGGAAGGGCUUUGGAUACUGGACGACUUGAGUGCGGAAGAGGUAAGGGAAUUCCCAGUGUAGCGGUGAAAUGCGUAGAGAUUGGGAGGAACACCAGUGGCGAAGGCACUUACUGGGCCGUAACUGACGCUGAGGCGCGAAAGCGUGGGGAGCGAACAGGAUUAGAUCCCUGGUAGUCCACGCGGUAAACGAUGAAUGUUAGGUGUUGCGGGUAUCGACCCCUGCAGGCCGGAGUAAACACAAUAAACAUUCCGCCUGGGGAGUACGGCCGCAAGGUUGAAACUCAAGGAAUUGACGGGGGCCCGCACAAGCAGCGGAGCAUGUUGUUUAAUUCGAAGCAACGCGAAAACCUUACCAGGUCUUGACAUCGGAUUAAAGCCCAAGAGAUUGGGUGUGACUUCGGUCGAUCCAGACAGGUGGUGCAUGGUUGUCGUCAGCUCGUGUCGUGAGAUGUUGGGUUAAGUCCCCAACGAGCGCAACCCUUAUGGUCAGUUACUAACGCGUAGAGGCGAGGACUCUGACAAGACGCCGGGGACAACUCGGAGGAAGGUGGGGACGACGUCAAAUCAUCAUGCCCCUUAUGACCUGGCUACAAACGUGCUACAAUGGUGACAACAAAGAGGAGCGAGACCGUAAGGUGGAGCGGACUCAAAAAAGUCAUCCCAGUUCGGAUUGUGGGCUGCAACCCGCCCACAUGAAGUUGGAGUGCUAGUAAUCGCGGAUCAGCAUGCCGCGGUGAAUACGUUCCCGGGCCUUGCACACACCGCCGU